UCCCAAUCGAGCCAUCCAGUCCAGCUGGAAGAACUUGAAAGGUAGAGGAAGAACCUUCCCUUCCCUCCGGUUGGCGUAGCCGGUGGAUACUCAUUCGCAGGACAGCAGCUCGCCCAGAGAUCCUGGGACAGCUGACGCACAGCCAGCAGAAGAAAAUGGCCCCUCAGUGCCAGACGUUUGCCAUCCUGACGUCCUUAUAACGUGGCAAAGGUCUGCUCCAGAAUCAGAGAAAUUAAACUAAAACA